CCUACGGGUGGCUGCAGUCGAGAAUCAUUCACAAUGGGGGAAACCCUGAUGGUGCGACGCCGCGUGGGGGAAUGAAGGUCUUCGGAUUGUAAACCCCUGUCAUGUGGGAGCAAAUUAAAAAGAUAGUACCACAAGAGGAAGAGACGGCUAACUCUGUGCCAGCAGCCGCGGUAAUACAGAGGUCUCAAGCGUUGUUCGGAAUCACUGGUCGUAAGGCGUGCGUAGGCUGUUUCGUAAGUCGUGUGUGAAAGGCGCGGGCUCAACCCGCGGACGGCACAUGAUACUGCGAGACUAGAGUAAUGGAGGGGGAACCGGAAUGCUCGGUGUAGCAGUGAAAUGCGUAGAUAUCGAGAGGAACACUCGUGGCGAAGGCGGGUUCCUGGACAUUAACUGACGCUGAGGCACGAAGGCCAGGGGAGCGAAAGGGAUUAGAUACCCGAGUAGUC
rnacentral:rRNA from 1 species